rnacentral:rRNA from 1 species
UAGGGAAUCUUCCACAAUGGGCGGAAAGCCUGAUGGAGCAACGCCGCGUGAGUGAAGAAGGUUUUCGGAUCGUAAAGCUCUGUUGUUGGUGAAGAAGGAUAGAGGUAGUAACUGGCCCCUAUUUGACGGUAAUCAACCAGAAAGUCACGGCUAACUACGUGCCAGCAGCUGCGGUAAUAUCUCUGU